rnacentral:tRNA from 1 species
GCCUGCCUAGCUCAGUUGGUAGAGCAGGGAACUUUUUAUCUCAGGGUUGAGGGUUUGAGCCCCACGUUGGGCA